CUUUGAUUCUGGCUCAGGAUGAACGCUAGCUACAGGCUUAACACAUGCAAGUCGAGGGGAAACGACAUCGAAAGCUUGCUUUUGAUGGGCGUCGACCGGCGCACGGGUGAGUAACGCGUAUCCAACCUGCCCACCACUUGGGGAUAACCUUGCGAAAGUAAGACUAAUACCCAAUGAUAUCCCACGAAGGCAUCCGAAUGGGAUUAAAGAUUUAUCGGUGAUGGAUGGGGAUGCGUCUGAUUAGCUUGUUGGCGGGGUAACGGCCCACCAAGGCUACGAUCAGUAGGGGUUCUGAGAGGAAGGUCCCCCACAUUGGAACUGAGACACGGUCCAAACUCCUACGGGAGGCAGCAGUGAGGAAUAUUGGUCAAUGGGCGAGAGCCUGAACCAGCCAAGUAGCGUGCAGGAUGACGGCCCUACGGGUUGUAAACUGCUUUUAUGCGGGGAUAAAGUCGAUCACGUGUGAUUGUUUGCAGGUACCGCAUGAAUAAGGACCGGCUAAUUCCGUGCCAGCAGCCGCGGUAAUACGGAAGGUCCGGGCGUUAUCCGGAUUUAUUGGGUUUAAAGGGAGCGUAGGCCGCCGAUUAAGCGUGUUGUGAAAUGCCGUGGCUCAACCAUGGCACUGCAGCGCGAACUGGUUGGCUUGAGUGCGCGGAAGGCAGGCGGAAUUCGUGGUGUAGCGGUGAAAUGCUUAGAUAUCACGAAGAACCCCGAUUGCGAAGGCAGCUUGCCGCAGCGCUACUGACGCUGAAGCUCGAAGGUGCGGGUAUCGAACAGGAUUAGAUACCCUGGUAGUCCGCACGGUAAACGAUGGAUGCCCGCUGUGUGCCAUUAUGGUACGCGGCCAAGCGAAAGCGUUAAGCAUCCCACCUGGGGAGUACGCCGGCAACGGUGCAACUCAAAUGAAUUGACGGA
rnacentral:rRNA from 1 species